rnacentral:rRNA from 1 species
GGGUAACCUGCCUGUAAGACUGGGAUAACUCCGGGAAACCGGGGCUAAUACCGGAUGGUUGUUUGAACCGCAUGGUUCAGACAUAAAAGGUGGCUUCGGCUACCACUUACAGAUGGACCCGCGGCGCAUUAGCUAGUUGGUGAGGUAACGGCUCACCAAGGCGACGAUGCGUAGCCGACCUGAGAGGGUGAUCGGCCACACUGGGACUGAGACACGGCCCAGACUCCUACGGGAGGCAGCAGUAGGGAAUCUUCCGCAAUGGACGAAAGUCUGACGGAGCAACGCCGCGUGAGUGAUGAAGGUUUUCGGAUCGUAAAGCUCUGUUGUUAGGGAAGAACAAGUGCCGUUCAAAUAGGGCGGCACCUUGACGGUACCUAACCAGAAAGCCACGGCUAACUACGUGCCAGCAGCCGCGGUAAUACGUAGGUGGCAAGCGUUGUCCGGAAUUAUUGGGCGUAAAGGGCUCGCAGGCGGUUUCUUAAGUCUGAUGUGAAAGCCCCCGGCUCAACCGGGGAGGGUCAUUGGAAACUGGGGAACUUGAGUGCAGAAGAGGAGAGUGGAAUUCCACGUGUAGCGGUGAAAUGCGUAGAGAUGUGGAGGAACACCAGUGGCGAAGGCGACUCUCUGGUCUGUAACUGACGCUGAGGAGCGAAAGCGUGGGGAGCGAACAGGAUUAGAUACCCUGGUAGUCCACGCCGUAAACGAUGAGUGCUAAGUGUUAGGGGGUUUCCGCCCCUUAGUGCUGCAGCUAACGCAUUAAGCACUCCGCCUGGGGAGUACGGUCGCAAGACUGAAACUCAAAGGAAUUGACGGGGGCCCGCACAAGCGGUGGAGCAUGUGGUUUAAUUCGAAGCAACGCGAAGAACCUUACCAGGUCUUGACAUCCUCUGACAAUCCUAGAGAUAGGACGUCCCCUUCGGGGGCAGAGUGACAGGUGGUGCAUGGUUGUCGUCAGCUCGUGUCGUGAGAUGUUGGGUUAAGUCCCGCAACGAGCGCAACCCUUGAUCUUAGUUGCCAGCAUUCAGUUGGGCACUCUAAGGUGACUGCCGGUGACAAACCGGAGGAAGGUGGGGAUGACGUCAAAUCAUCAUGCCCCUUAUGACCUGGGCUACACACGUGCUACAAUGGGCAGAACAAAGGGCAGCGAAACCGCGAGGUUAAGCCAAUCCCACAAAUCUGUUCUCAGUUCGGAUCGCAGUCUGCAACUCGACUGCGUGAAGCUGGAAUCGCUAGUAAUCGCGGAUCAGCAUGCCGCGG